CUACGGGACGCACCAGUGAGGAAUAUUGCACAAUGGGGGGAACCCUGAUGCAGCAACGCCGCGUGGAGGAUGACGCAUUUCGGUGUGUAAACUCCUUUUAUAUGUCAAGAAAAUGACGGUAGCAUAUGAAUAAGCACCGGCUAACUCCGUGCCAGCAGCCGCGGUAAUACGGAGGGUGCGAGCGUUACUCGGAAUCACUGGGCAUAAAGGACGCGUAGGCGGGUUGGAAAGUCAGGUGUGAAAUCCUACAGCUUAACUGUAGAACUGCACUUGAAACUUCUAAUCUAGAGUAUGGGAGGGGGAGAUGGAAUUAGUGGUGUAGGGGUAAAAUCCGUAGAUAUCACUAGGAAUACCUAAAGCGAAGGCGAUCUCCUGGAACAUUACUGACGCUAAGGCGUGAAAGCGUGGGGAGCAAACAGGAUUAGAUACCCGUGUAGUC
rnacentral:rRNA from 1 species